rnacentral:lncRNA from 1 species
GUUGUGGUAAAUUUCUACCUUAUAGCGAGAGCAAGAAAUAUGUACACUCCAAAUAUGUUAGUGCAUUCGUUAACUCAGAACAACAAUAUGUUCAACUAACCGUAUUUAAAGAAGUUUGGAAUGCAUGUGUCCCUCAUAUUCAAUUUAUGAAACCAAAGACGGAUCUGUGUAAAACGUGCUUUCAGUUGAGGGAUGAUAUUUCCGGAUCUAUUUCAGAAGACGCGAAAUAAGUGAGAACUCAAAAAUUAAUUGACCAUAUACAGUCUGCGCGGACGCAGCGUGAAUAUUAUACAUUAUGUAUAUACACAAAGAUCACGUGAUGAAUUUAGUUGGCUGAGUCUCCAAUAGGAAAGUAAAACACUCCAUGUUCAAAAAUUUUUGAAAAUGUUCAUUACACUAUUGAC